rnacentral:rRNA from 1 species
GUCCACUGAACCUUAUCAUUUAGAGGAAGGAGAAGUCGUAACAAGGUUUCCGUAGGUGAACCUGCGGAAGGAUCAUUGCCGAGACCCGCAAGACGGACCCGCGAACUCGUUCCCACCCGCACGGGACCCCGACCCGGGCGCGGCCGACCGGCCGUCCCCCGUCGGAGGCCCGCCCCGCCGACGGGCGCGCGCCCGUCCGCGGCUCAACGAACCCCGGCGCGAGGAGCGUCAAGGAACACUCACGACGUCGCCCGCCCCCCGGCGCCCCGUCCGCGGCGCGCGCCCGGGGACCGCGAGCGAUCCGAAUUCGAAACGACUCUCGGCAACGGAUAUCUCGGCUCUCGCAUCGAUGAAGAACGCAGCAAAAUGCGAUACUUGGUGUGAAUUGCAGAAUCCCGCGAACCAUCGAGUUUUUGAACGCAAGUUGCGCCCGAAGCCGCCACGCCGAGGGCACGCCUGCCUGGGCGUCACGUGCUGCGUCGCCCCUCGUCCCCGCUCGCGACCGAGCGGCGGGCGUCGGGCCGGAAACUGGCCUCCCGUGCGCGCCCGCGCGCGGCCGGCCCAAACGCGAUUCGGCAUCGACGCGUGUCGCGACGACUGGUGGUUGAAGGCCUCGACUCGCGCGUCGUCGCGUCGCUCGGCCGGAAUGCGCCGACCCCCAGGGCCCCGCGCCCCGACGGCGACCCCAGGUCAGGCGGGAUCACCCGCCGAGUUUAAGCAUAUCAAUAAGCGGAGGA